rnacentral:rRNA from 1 species
GACGAACGCUGGCGGCGUGCUUAACACAUGCAAGUCGAACGGAAAGGCCCUGCUUUUGUGGGGUGCUCGAGUGGCGAACGGGUGAGUAACACGUGAGUAACCUGCCCUUGACUUUGGGAUAACUUCAGGAAACUGGGGCUAAUACCGGAUAGGAGCUCCUGCUGCAUGGUGGGGGUUGGAAAGUUUCGGCGGUUGGGGAUGGACUCGCGGCUUAUCAGCUUGUUGGUGGGGUAGUGGCUUACCAAGGCUUUGACGGGUAGCCGGCCUGAGAGGGUGACCGGCCACAUUGGGACUGAGAUACGGCCCAGACUCCUACGGGAGGCAGCAGUGGGGAAGAUUGCACAAUGGGCGGAAGCCUGAUGCAGCAACGCCGCGUGCGGGAUGACUGCCUUCGGGUUGUAAACCGCUUUCGCCUGUGACGAAGCGUGAGUGACGGUAAUGGGUAAAGAAGCACCGGCUAACUACGUG